rnacentral:rRNA from 1 species
CUCUUGAACAAAAAACAUAAGAGGUACUGCCUGCCCAGUGACAACCGUUCAACGGCCGCGGUAUCAUGACCGUGCAAAGGUAGCGUAAUCACUUGUCUUUUAAAUAAAGACCAGUAUGAAUGGCAAAACGAAAGCUCAACUGUCUCCCUAGGCCAGUCAAUGAAACUGAUCUCCCCGUGAAGAAGCGGGGGUAUUUAUAC